rnacentral:rRNA from 1 species
AGUGAACGCUGGCGGUAGGCCUAACACAUGCAAGUCGAACGGCAGCACAGUAAGAGCUUGCUCUUACGGGUGGCGAGUGGCGGACGGGUGAGGAAUACAUCGGAAUCUACUUUUUCGUGGGGGAUAACGUAGGGAAACUUACGCUAAUACCGCAUACGACCUACGGGUGAAAGCAGGGGAUCUUCGGACCUUGCGCGAUUGAAUGAGCCGAUGUCGGAUUAGCUAGUUGGCGGGGUAAAGGCCCACCAAGGCGACGAUCCGUAGCUGAUCUGAGAGGAUGAUCGGCCACACUGGAACUGAGACACGGUCCAGACUCCUACGGGAGGCAGCAGUGGGGAAUAUUGGACAAUGGGCGCAAGCCUGAUCCAGCCAUACCGCGUGGGUGAAGAAGGCCUUCGGGUUGUAAAGCCCUUUUGUUGGGGAAGAGAAGCAGCAGGUUAAUACCCCGCUGUUCUGACGGUACCCAAAGAAUAAGCACCGGCUAACUUCGUG